rnacentral:rRNA from 1 species
GACGAACGCUGGCGGCGUGCCUAAUACAUGCAAGUAGAACGCUGAAGGAGGAGCUUGCUUCUCUGGAUGAGUUGCGAACGGGUGAGUAACGCGUAGGUAACCUGCCUGGUAGCGGGGGAUAACUAUUGGAAACGAUAGCUAAUACCGCAUAAGAGUAGAUGUUGCAUGACAUUUGCUUAAAAGGUGCAAUUGCAUCACUACCAGAUGGACCUGCGUUGUAUUAGCUAGUUGGUGGGGUAACGGCUCACCAAGGCGACGAUACAUAGCCGACCUGAGAGGGGGAUCGGCCACACUGGGACUGAGACACGGCCCAGACUCCUACGGGAGGCAGCAGUAGGGAAUCUUCGGCAAUGGACGGAAGUCUGACCGAGCAACGCCGCGUGAGUGAAGAAGGUUGUCGGAUCGUAAAGCUCUGUUGUAAGAGAAGAACGAGUGUGAGAGUGGAAAGUUCACACUGUGACGGUAGCUUACCAGAAAGGGACGGCUAACUACGUG